rnacentral:rRNA from 1 species
UACGGAGGGUGCAAGCGUUGUCCGGAAUCACUGGGCGUAAAGGGCGCGUAGGCGGCCUGGUAAGUAGGGGGUGAAAUCCUGCGGCUUAACCGCAGGGCUGCCUUCUAAACUGUCAGGCUUGAGCACGGUAGAGGCAGAUGGAAUUCCCGGUGUAGCGGUGGAAUGCGUAGAGAUCGGGAAGAACAUCAGUGGCGAAGGCGGUCUGCUGGGCCGACACUGACACUGAGAGACGAAAGCUAGGGGAGCGAAUGGG